rnacentral:rRNA from 1 species
ACUCAAAGGAAUUGACGGGGGUCCGCACAAGCAGCGGAUGAUGUGGUUUAAUUCGACGCUACGCGAAGAACCUUACCCACUCUUGACAUCCCGAGAACCCCCUGGAGACAGGGGGGUGCCCGGAAGGGAGCUCGGUGACAGGUGUUGCAUGGCCGUCGUCAGCUCGUGUCGUGAGAUGUUGGGUUAAGUCCCGCAACGAGCGCAACCCUUAUUGCCUGUUGAACUUUUCAGGCGAGACCGCCGGCGACAAGCUGGAGGAAGAUGGGGAUGAGGUCAGGUCAGCAUGGCCCUUACGAGUGGGGCUACACACGUCAUACAAUGGCUACUACAACGGGUUGCAAUGGAGCGAUCCGGAGCUAAUCCUUCAAAAGUAGUCUCAGUUCGGAUUGCAGGCUGAAACUCGCCUGCAUGAAGGCGGAGUUGCUAGUAAACGCGGGUCAGCAUACCGCGUUGAAUACGUUCCCGGACCUUGCACACACCGCCCGU